rnacentral:lncRNA from 1 species
AUUGCCCACAGUCAUCUUGUCCAAAAGAGAGGAUAAAAGUCAGCAGGUUGAAUUUUUUCCAAACUUCAGCUUGCAGCCUACAGCAUCUUGGAUCCUCAGCUACUUCAGCCGAAACUCAAGAAGACUGUCUUCACAGAGUCAAAGUGAAAAAAGAGUAGAGCAGACAGGGACAGCGGUCACUGCACAAAAUCAGCAGACUGCCAGGGCAGCCCCAUGUCUCUUCAGAACGUUGGGACAAACUAAAGUCGGUCUCAGGAAGAAACUGCUUCUCAUGUUCUCAUAAGAAAGCAAUUGUAAAAGCAGAAAGAAGGACAUUCCAGAGAAGGAAAAUGUUCUAACUCAGAGAAGGGAGCAUUUCAGCUCAUUCUUGACGGAUAUGUGAAAGUAAGUCAAAUACACUUGAAUGUUUGGGGAAAAAAAAUAAAAUAAGAGGUUGGGAUGCUAUCUUCCUCUUGCCUCAGUCAAAAUAGGCCAAAUUCAAAGCUUAAAAGGGCAGCAGAAGAUUAGAAAAUGCCUAAAGAGGAGAACUCAGAGAAAGAGAACCCUGAAAGACAAACUUCACUCACAUUAUAAUCUCCUAGGAGGCCAUUCAGUAUAACCAGAAAAGCAC